CCAAAACCAACAGAACAAAACAAAAUAAUAGGAUUUUUUUUUAAGGUUGUUUUUACUUUUCAAUAGAAAAUGAUCAAGCAAAAGUAGUUGAGUACUGGCCAACAUUCCUUAUGAGAGGAAAUUAUACUUGGAAUUGACACUCCCUCCUUUAACUUGUUAGGCAGUGAUUAAGGUCUGGUGUUUAUCAGGAUAGAUCAGGCAGUCUGCUCGGAGUAAGUAAAAGAAGAAAAAUAGAUACUGAUCAUCUUUAAUGUAGGAGCAAGUUCUGAGGUCUUUAGCAUUCUUUUGUUCUGUGUUUGUGCACCACUUAGAGAUUGUGUGGUACUGAUCUGCGCACUCGUGAUAAGCCCCUAGACAUCUUUCUUGAAGGCAUGAAGUUGUGUUGCCACAGGCAGAGACUCUGGGCUCUCCCCCACAGCCACAAGUGAAGGAAGCUUUGGGCUUGUGGGUGCAAGCACAGAAGCUGGACCCCCAUGUAGGAUUACGGUAAACUUGUCAAUCAGUGCCCAGAGGCAGUCAACACAAUGCAGUUGUGCCAGAUACGUAGAGUGACUUGCCAAGAUACUCUCUCUGCAUCACUGAGGGAUAUCCUUCACAUUGUCUCUGAAAGUGAAGAUGGGCCACACAAUGUGCUGCAUCUGGAAGGAGGGGGGCUCAGAGCGUUGUCCCUGUGCUCCUCCGAGAUUGCAUUCUCAGUAGAAAAUCUAAACUAUCAGGGAGGAUGUUCUUCUGGCCAGCUAUGUGCUGACAAAGUUACUGCUCUUGUGAUCAGCAAUAAAGGUUUUGCUGCUGCUUAGAAAUAUGCUGGAGUUUCAGAUCAGAAUGAGAAUCAAUUCUGCAUGUGGUUGCUCACCUUGUGUCUUUUCUGUUCAUGAGGGCUCAUCAUACAAUGUUCAGGCAGAGAAUGUCUAUUGCAGAAAUGCAUCGUAUCCCAGCAGUUAAGUCAAAUGGCAGCAAACUAGCUUACUUACCUAAAAGAACAAAUGUGAACGUAUGGAGAUAGCCUUUUUUUUUCUUAACCUUCAGAAGUAUCAACAAAGAUUUUCAUGUUUGUAAAUUGUCAUUUUCUUUGAGUAAACCUUAUGGAAAAGUCAAGGGAUUUAUUUAUUUAUUAAGUGAAAAAUGUAGUGGAAACUAUACUACAGCUUUAGUUCUCAUCAUCAGUUGAAAAACAGAAGUUGCAGUAGAGGAGGAAAACAAACACCAAAGAUCAGGUGUAAGUCACAGUGAAAACAGCAGAGACAUCUUUAGCGUCAGAGACAUCUUUAGCUUCCUGAGGCACUCACCUGUCCCUCCAGGUGAGAGAAGACUUCUCUUCCUUGACCCCUGUGAGCAUUUGUCCUCUGACAACUGAACCAAUUGCUAUUGGAAGUGACCAACAUGAGAAUGAUAUCAUUGCUUUUGAGAAACACAUCUGGUCAACCACUGCUAUCUUUCUCUUCUCCCCCACUUGCUGUAACACCUAGAUUCUUUUGAAAUGGAAGGGGAGAGACUGGCCUUUCAGUGUAUAAAAUGGGAUCAAAUGUAUGUACAACUAUUGAUUUAAUCUUGUGCCUGAAAGGGCUGGGAUUUUUUCUUUUAUUUCCUUUUUCUUCAAGUUCUAUUUUUGAGAAGCAGAAGAGCAAAACAAAGGUGUUGAGCUCAGCCAGUGGUCCUCAGGCUGAAAGGCCAGAGCCAGAACUGCAUAGCCCUCUGUGAGCUUUGCUCUUGCUGGACUAAAUCAGGUUUGAAUGUAGGUACUUGAUUUUUAAUUCCUGUCUGGGUUUUGGUCACUGUUAGUGAGUUAUAAUGGGACAGACUGCCCUCACUGCACUGAGUCUGGGUCUGGGUGCCAGCAGCACACUACAGGGUUAUGCCAGUUUACAGUUGCUGACAUUACAUCUCUGUGUAGUUUCUGACAGAUUACAGUUGUGUCUAUGCUGUAGCAGGCCCCAGCCAGCAGCAGCAGGGGGUGUCAGUGCUGCCCGCUGUGCUGACAGAGGAAGCAGUGAGGUGGGAGCAGGGUGCUGCACCCAGAGUUGCACAACUACCCUCCUCUCUGGGGGUUGCUGAUUCAGCCUCCAAAUCCUGCUCCAGAGCAGAGGUGUUUUAUCAAAUAAAAGCCUGUGUAGCAAUUAGGGAUGCUGAAGUCAUGCUAAGAUCUGACUAUGGACUCUGUAAGUCACUAAGGAUCAGAGGGCAGAGCAGGGCAAUUCUUGGGAAGGCAAAAUGGAAAUGGAAAGAUGUGGACUUGAUAACGUAAAUUAGCUUGCUUUCAUUUGUGUACAACAGCUGCUGUUCGACCUAGGAGAAGGAAGAAUAAUAUUCUAGAAAACGAGAUCAGUCUAAGGAGGAAAAAUAAAGACAUCUGCCUGAAUUGUAUUUCUGAUAUAUUAGUGAUUUCAGCUCUCUCUUUUUCCUAGCUGAGGCAGGAAUCCUAUGGAAGCAGCUUUUGAAGAUGAGCUGCUUCCUAAAGGACAGGAGCAAGUUGAUACUACUUUGUGCCACUGUGUACCUGGGCAGGGCUGGUCUCUGGAGCUGUAAAAAGACACAACGGGGCUCAGGGUCAGGUGGUGGCAGGGAGUAACAGUUCUCUGCAGGUAGGGGACAGAAGAAUGGGGCAGAAGAAAGAAUAGAUUAGAAUAAUGUAGUCCAAAAUUUUGUUGUUACCACAAUCUGAAUUCUCAGCUGGAGUUGGCUUUGUGGGAGGCACAGAAAUGCUUAUCUAUGCCAGAUGAGGAGCUGAGCUUGAUAUGCAAUGGUGAUGGGUUAUACUGUUUUGAUAUCAGUGCAAGGAAGUUUUUAACUCCAUAAGUGCAAUCAGAGGGAAAAAUACUGCCUAGAGGGAAGCAUAAAAGAUCCUCACUUUCCAGGCCAGCAACUUGUGGUUUGGGCUGUCAGGCUUCGGCUGUGCAGUCACAACUGUGUGCUGGGUCUGAUAAGGAAAGGAAAGGUAAGGGAA
ensembl:lncRNA